UGGCGGACGGGUGAGUAAUGUCUGGGAAACUGCCUGAUGAGGGGGAUAACUACUGGAAACGGUAGCUAAUACCGCAUAACGUCGCAAGACCAAAGAGGGGGACCUUAGGGCCUCUUGCCAUCGGAUGUGCCCAGAUGGGAUUAGCUAGUAGGUGGGGUAACGGCUCACCUAGGCGACGAUCCCUAGCUGGUCUGAGAGGAGGACCAGCCACACUGGAACUGAGACACGGUCCAG
rnacentral:rRNA from 1 species